UUGUUUUUCUGUAUUGAGCAAACGCUUGUCUUGUUUUUCUGUAGCAUUCACCAUGCAUGUCUCGUGUGAUCCUUGUGCAGGCCGUAUAGCACUAAUUGGACUGCGGUGGUCUGAUGACACCUUCCCUUGUCCAUGGAGGAUCCUCAAUAGGCAAGAACAUAUGCCACCGCUGAUCCAAAGCUCGUGCCAGGGGAAGGGAUUCUGUCAUUGCCUUCUAUGUGGGUGGCGUAGACCACUGUGUGCCGCCUCUUCCAUGGACGCAACAGCUGCUCCGACCCCGCUGCCGACGCCAUGGAGAUCGUCAAGAUUGCAUUCCUCGGGAAGAUACUCCUUUCGUCCAUCAAACCUACCGGACAUGAUGGAAAAUCUCCAUUGCGCAUGACACC